UACGGAGGAUGCAAGCGUUAUCCGGAUUUAUUGGGUUUAAAGGGUGCGUAGGCGGACUUAUAAGUCAGUGGUGAAGUCUCGUUGCUUAACAACGAACGUGCCAUUGAUACUGUAGGUCUUGAGUACAGAUGCCGUUGGCGGAAUGUGUCAUGUAGCGGUGAAAUGCAUAGAUAUGACACAGAACACCGAUUGCGAAGGCAGCUGACGAAACUGUAACUGACGCUGAGGCACGAAAGCGUGGGGAUCAAACAGG
rnacentral:rRNA from 1 species